CCAUGCUGUAACGGCGUCAGGUCUCUCAACAGCGCCGCCAGAACCACCCGUGACCGCCAAGCUGCAUGCAACUGCUUGAAACAAGCUUACGGAACAAUCCGCGGCAUCAACCCUAAUGUUGCCGCUGGCCUUCCUCGUCAAUGUGGAGUCAACAUUCCUUACAAGAUCAGCCCCGCCACUGACUGCUCUAGGUAUGUUAAUCAAUUACUCCACCCUCUUUAAUUCUUUUUGUUUUUAUUUAUUUUUUCAAUUUUCUGAUUGUUAAUUAUGUAAUUCUUAAUUAGAAUUUUGUUUUUCAUGUUUCUGUGAUGCAGGGUCAGGUGAAGUUGAGUUUGAGCUCUGUGACUUUCCAAGUAUGAUUGACUGAGAAGAAUAAAUAAAUAAAGAAUAUCUAUGUUAAUUUCUUUGUCCGAACGAGUCUCCACUUGUGUGAGUCUCACUCUCAUGUCAUGUUUGUAUCUUUGCUUUUAAUAUCAUAUUAAAUAUGUAAACGUGAUCUGUGUUUUGAGUGAUUAAUUCUAGUUAUUUUGUGGUAUUAUCUUAAAAAUUCUCCCUUAUUUUAUGUCCCUCUCUAUCAUUUUGAAUCAUGAGAGAAUCUCAAACCAUUGUUUGUUAUGUUCUAAAGUCAUGGAGACAGUGCCACCAAUUCCUCAUCAUACUACAAAGACAAUUCCAAUUCCAAAUCUAAUUAUUACAAAGACAGUUCCCAAUCCUCUAAUUCAAGCUAACACAAUAUCUAUAUAGACAAGAAAUAGAAAUUGACAAAAGGGUUCUAACAGUUUUUAAUCCUAAGUAUUGACCGAGAAAUAAAUAAAUAAAUAAAUAAAUAUGUUAAUUUCUUUGUCCGAAUGAAUCUCUACUUGUGCGAGUCUCACUCUCAUGUCAUGCUGUAUCUUUGCUUUUUAUGUCAUAUUAAAUAUGUAAUCGUGAUCUGUGUUUUGAGUAAUGAAUUAUAAUUAUUUUGUGGUAUUAUAUUAUAAAUUCUCUCUUAUUUUAUGUUGACGACAUCUCUAUAUCAUUUUACAUCAUCAGAGAAUCUCGAUUCAAUAAGCAUUAUGUUCUAAAGUCAUGGAGAGUGUACCGUAAUUCCUAAUCAUACUGCAAAAACAAUUCCUAUUCCAAAUCUAAUUAUUAUAAAGAAAAUUCCUAAUUACCAGCAAGCGCGUACAUCAGCUGUUAUGAGACUGUUCUAACUUAACCAAAAUCAUCGAUUCAAGGUUUAAGAAUGCAGCUGCGUUAAAUACUUGUUGGGAGAGCUUUGCCGCCCUAGUAGUCCUACCCGACUUGAAUCUAGAUUAGUUGAGACCUAAUGUGAUUUUCGGAUACCAGAUGAUUUAAUAUACAAAAAAAAAAAGACAAUUCCCAAUCCUCUAAUUCAAGCUAACACAAUAUCUAAUUCCUAUAUAUAUAUAGACAAAAAAUAGGAAUUAACAAAAUGGUUCUAACAGUUUUUAAUCCUACAGUAUUGAUCGGUAAAAUGUACUUUUAUCAAAAUACUAAUUAGCUGAAGAAUUGUUGUUAGUCGAGGUUAGAUUAUCUCAUUGACAAAUGUAAUAUUACACAAUUAAUAAUAAAAAAAGUGAAAAUAAAAACCUUCAAAGUAGUUUGAGACACUAUAAUUAAUUCAUAACAAACCAAUUGGUAUAGGUGCGUGUGAUUGCAUUCGCCGGUAGGGUGGAGCCGUGGAGGGCCCUUAGGAUGGACUUUGAUCUCUAUUUUGUAAUGGGGAAAAUCGAAAAAAAAAAAAAUCAUGAAGUUGCAAUCUAAAAUUAUACUCAAGCCCCCCAAUAAUUUUCAUUUACUCCCCAGUAAAUCACACUCAAGUCCCAAUUCCAAUUGCUUAUGGUUAUAUAAUUAUAAUUAAAAGAAGCGAGCCCUUAAAUAUUAAAGUAGAUUUUGAUUUUUUUAAAUGAUCCACAAAUCUGUGAUACAACAGAGCAUCGCUUUAACAAUAGCUUUUAGCUAAUUAAUUUUUCAUUUUUUUCAUUUUCGACAGUUUCGACUUUCGAGCCUGUCGGCAGGAUUGUGAUUAAGGCCCAGCCCGGCCUUCGAACAAAAAGUACAGAGCCCGGCCCGGAGCUUGGACAUCAAAAUAAAAAAUUUAGUAUUUUCUUUGUGGUACAUACUUUAGUUAGUUACUAUAUACACCGGCCCAAAAAUUUGAUUAUUCCUUUAAACCUAGCCCAACUGCUCAUUCAUUGUGAAAUUAUAUGCACUUGUACUAUUAGGAGCCCAUUAACAAAAUUAUUUGUUACUAGUUGGUACCUUAAGUUAAUUUCUAUAAAUUAUUUAUUUCUAAUUUUUCUCCUUAAGUGUCAUAAUUUCUAUCUAGAAAAGCUUAAAUCAGUAACACUAAGACAUGUUAUAAAGUGACCAAAAAAAAACAUUAAUUUUAAUAGCAUAGACAUGCGGCCCUGGGCCUGCCCGCGAGCCCAAUCGCUGGGUGUGCAAAAGGAACGCCCGACCCGAACUUGUACUAUCCCUAAAUUAAAUCACAAGCGACAAACUACUACAUUUUCUAUUUUCUUUUGCUUGUAUUUUGUUCACGACCCGAUCUUGUACUAUCCCUAAAUUAAAUCACAAGUGACAAACUACUACAUUUUCGAUUCUCUUUUUACUUGUAUUUAGUUCACUAAUAUUUGCCACUCGGCCAAAUAAGUGAGGGCAGCUGUUUGACCCCAUAAACACAUUAUUGGAGAUUUAUUCCUUCCUCUGUUAUUAAUAAUUGAGUGGAGUGAAUAUUUUUUAAAUAUUAGUGAUGAUAAAAUUAUAGACGGUGUUUUAUAAGAAUUGAUAUAAAUUAAUUUCAAUAAUAAUUUAAUUUAUAAAUAUCAAUUGUAGUCUCAUAUAAUAUGAGUUGUAAUAUUGAAAAAUAAUCUCAUAUAAUAAAAAAUAUUUACUAAUAUUUAGUUUUACAUAUAUGUAAUUAUGUAUAUACAGAUUUAAUGUGUGAAAAUUUAUUUGAUUGUACCGAUGCAAUUAAUAAUAUUUCAUUUCAUUUCAAUAUAGUAACCUACACAAAUACUGGGAUGGUUGAGAUUAGAAGGCAAUUUUUCGGAGAAAUGUUUAAUUUAAAUGUGUAUAUUUAAUGUUUUUCAAGCAAUUUAUUUUAUUUUAAUAAAAGGGGGCAAUCAAAAAGCCAUCCAUAUCAAUGUUCUUCGGCCUCAGCCUCGGCCAGUUAGGCACCAAAUGUUGACAGAGUCCCAUUCUGUUCCCAUGCUCAGGCACAGCGAAUUAUUACAAUUAAUUUGACGAGACUUUUACGUACGAGAUCUGACAACUCCAUCAGACUGCUGCCAAGUGUCCACAUGCUUGCACCUGUUAAAAUCUCUCAUCUCCGUCGGUGGCUGCCUCGGAUUCUGUGCUUCUUCUCUCCAAACUUCAGAGACGUGCUUAUUCAAGGCAAAUGCUAUGUUACAAUUAAUGUAACAUACACACUCAACAACAACCACAUAAAUUAUGUGGGUUUAUCAUUUGUGUGGUUGUUGUUGAGUGUGUAUGUUACAUUAAUUGUAACAUAGGGACUCCCGCUUAUUCAAAACAUUGAACCGAAAGUUAAUUAAAGUUACAGCAUGUGCGGUAAGAAAUGAACAUGGUUGUUGUUUUUUUAUUAUUAAAUAAAUAAUUUGUGAGAGAUCCAUUUUUUUGGGGUUAAUAUAUAAUUGUUAAAAAUAAAACAUACAAUUAAAUAAAAAUAAAGGUGCCACAAAACUACGGGCCAUGGAAAUUGCAAUAAAGAAAAUAAUUAAUUUUCCUCUCUCUCCCCUUUUUUUGCCUGAGAGGAAGAGGCAAUUCUUAUUUCUUAAUAUUCUUUUCUGAUUUUUUUCCAACGUAGGAGCAGCAAAAAUUACAAAUUAAUUUUUUAAUUUCUAUCGAAUUAACACAACUAUGCUAUGAUAUUAUAAAGACACGUGUAUGCCCCUCGUAAAAUUUUGUUCAAGUCAUAAAUUUGUGAGGUAGCACAUUUAUGAUCCGGCAAUUACAUGCAGUCUGCCGAAAACUUAGCUGUGCAUGUUCCGUCCCAUCCUUCUACAGUUUCUCCUCGCAAUUUUAAAAGCAAGUCUGCACACGGAAUUAACUCUUGGUUAAAAAUUCAAAAGGAACAUGUAUAGUUACUGUACUAACAAUAAAAUUUUAACAAAUUUCAAUUUUAAUUUUUGAGCUAUUUUCUAGAAUAAAUUCAGCUCGCGAAUUAUUUUACAUGAUAUUCGAGUUAAACUCACUAUUCUUUUUACCUAGCAAGAACCAGACUAAAGAAAUAUUCAACAUUAGUUGAGAUAAAUUAUCAAGCUAAAAAUAUAAAUUUGAAACUCUCAGCUAAUUAGUUUAAUUAUGAGUUGAGCUCAUGAGUAUCUACUAAAAUGGCGCUCUCAAAUUAAGCCGAAGAGUUGGAUCAUUUAAUUUUCAUCUAUGUCCUUAUCCAUUACCUAAUCUUUACUCGAUAGUGAGACUCGUGUGGAAUGUUCUAUAUGAAAAUAUGCAAUAAAUAAUCAUAUCAUAUAUUCGAAGUUUAUUUUUCGUUCUUACCUUUGUGAUGGUUAAUUAUUUCUAAAAGAAUGUGUGUGUGUGUGCGCGUGCGUGUGUGAAGAGAUAUUAUUGACUGAAUAUAAAUUUAUCUGUCUCCUUCGAAAAUAUUUCUAACUUUGCAUGCUGCCCCGUGAUUUGAUUGAAUAUUCAUGAAGGACAAAAAAAUUAUCUUAUGUUAAUAUUGUAAUUUCAGUUCUUGAAGGAAGAUAAACUUGUUCAUAAUAUUGCAAACAAAAGACAUUCUUUGCUUUCGCUAUAGUGUAUACGUAAACCAGUCGGCUCCGACUCCCCCCAUCACAUGAUUUUUGGACUAUAUGUUUAUGAAAUCAAACCUGGAUACUAUAUGAAUUUUCAUCUGCCUUCUUUUUAACAUGCAUUUUCUUAGAAAAGAAUAACACAAAUUGUAGGCACAUUCAUGCGUAUCUAAUUCCCAUUUUAAUUAAUGGCUUUCAACGUCCAGGAUGUGACGAUCAAAAAGUCCAAAAAUGUCGUUGAAAAUCGCACCGGUCGAAAAGGAAAGAGAAAGGCAUCAAAUGCAAUAUUGAAUUAUUUCAACAACCAACUAACCAGUACAGUAGUCUCUCUUUAAAGCUUCUAUAUAAACACUAGCCCUUAACACACUUUCACUCACUCAACUCAAGCUUCUGAACACAGCUAGCCAUAAACAAAGGCAAAAAAAAAAAAAAGAAAAAGAAAAUCUCAGGAGAAAUCUCAAAUGGCUGCCCUCAAGCUUGUUUCAGCUUUGGUUCUGUGCAUGUUGGUGACUGGUCCCCUGAGUGCUCAGGCCAUAACAUGUGGGCAGGUGAGUGGCUCAUUGGCACCAUGCAUCGGUUUCUUGAGAUCGGGCGGCCCUAUACCUAUGCCAUGCUGCAACGGCGUCAGGUCUCUCAACGCUGCCGCCAGAACCACACCUGACCGCCAAACUGCAUGCAACUGCUUGAAGCAAGCCGCCAGAUCAAUCCCUAGCCUCAACCUUAAUAAUGCUGCUGGUCUUCCAGGAGCUUGUGGAGUCAGCAUUCCUUACAAGAUCAGCACCUCCACUGACUGCUCUAAGU
rnacentral:lncRNA from 1 species